rnacentral:rRNA from 1 species
UACGUAGGGGGCGAGCGUUGUUCGGAUUUACUGGGCGUAAAGGGCGCGUAGGCGGCCACGACAAGUCACUUGUGAAAUCUCCGGGCUUAACCCGGAAAGGUCAAGUGAUACUGUCGGGCUAGAGUGCAGAAGGGGCAACUGGAAUUCUCGGUGUAGCAGUGAAAUGCGUAGAUAUCGAGAGGAACACCUGCGGCGAAGGCGGGUUGCUGGGCUGACACUGACGCUGAGGCGCGAAAGCCAGGGGAGCGAACGGG